rnacentral:rRNA from 1 species
AAGAUGGAGCUACACUGCAGUCGAGGGGUAAAUUGUGCUUGCACAGAUGACGACCGGCGCACGGGUGCGUAACGCGUAUAGAACCUACCUUUUACAGAGGGAUAGCCUUUAGAAAUGAAGAUUAAUACCUUAUAGUAUUGAGACUUGGCAUCAAGUUUUAAUUAAAGAUUUAUCGGUAAAAGAUGGCUAUGCGUCCUAUUAGUUAGUUGGUAAGGUAACGGCUUACCAAGACAGCGAUAGGUAGGGGCCCUGAGAGGGGGAUCCCCCACACUGGUACUGAGACACGGACCAGACUCCUACGGGAGGCAGCAGUGAGGAAUAUUGGGCAAUGGAGGCAACUCUGACCCAGCCAUGCCGCGUGCAGGAAGACGGCCCUAUGGGUUGUAAACUGCUUUUAUACAGGAAGAAACACUCGUACGUGUACGAGCUUGACGGUACUGUAAGAAUAAGGACCGGCUAACUCCGUGCCAGCAGCCGCGGUAAUACGGAGGGUCCGAGCGUUAUCCGGAAUCAUUGGGUUUAAAGGGUCCGCAGGCGGUCAAUUAAGUCAGAGGUGAAAUACCAUAGCUCAACUAUGGAACUGCCUUUGAUACUGGUUGACUUGAGUCAUAUGGAAGUAGAUAGAAUGUGUAGUGUAGCGGUGAAAUGCAUAGAUAUUACACAGAAUACCGAUUGCGAAGGCAGUCUACUACGUAUGUACUGACGCUGAGGGACGAAAGCGUGGGGAGCGAACAGGAUUAGAUACCCUGGUAGUCCACGCCGUAAACGAUGGAUACUAGUUGUUGGGCAUUAGCUCAGUGACUAAGCGAAAGUGAUAAGUAUCCCACCUGGGGAGUACGGUCGCAAGAC